UACGGGGGGUGCGAGCGUUGUCCGGAAUCACUGGGCGUAAAGGGCGCGUAGGUGGCGUGAUAAGGGUGUGGUGAAAGCCCGGGGCUCAACCUCGGGCCUGCAGUGGGUACGGGCAGACUAGAGUGCGGUAGGGGAGAUUGGAAUUCCGGGUGUAGUGGUGGAAUGCGUAGAGAUCCGGAGGAACACCAGCGGCGAAGGCGGCGUCCUGGACUGGGCCUGACGCUCAGGAGCGAAAGCGUGGGGAGCGAUCCGG
rnacentral:rRNA from 1 species